rnacentral:rRNA from 1 species
GGGCCAGUUGGUUGGUUGUGCCUAUGGUAUGUACUGGCCUACUGGUUCCUCCUUCUUGAAGAACCGUAAUGUCAUUAAUUUGGUGUUGCGGGGAAACAGGACUGUUACUUUGAAAAAAUUAGAGUGCUUAAAGCAGGCUAACGCUUGAAUACAUUAGCAUGGAAUAAUGAAAUAGGACGUUUGAUCUUAUUUUGUUGGUUUUUAGGAUUGACGUAAUGAUUAAUAGGGAUAGUUGGGGGCAUUAGUAUUCAAUUGUCAGAGGUGAAAUUCUUGGAUUUAUUGAAGACUAACUAUUGCGAAAGCAUUUGCCAAGGAUGUUUUCAUUAAUCAAGAACGAAAGUUAGGGGAUCGAAGACGAUCAGAUACCGUCGUAGUCUUAACCAUAAACUAUGCCGACUAGGGAUCGGAUGAUGUUAAUUUUUUAAUGACUCAUUCGGCGCCUUACGGGAAACCAAAGUGUUUGGGUUCCGGGGGGAGUAUGGUCGCAAGGCUGAAACUUAAAGGAAUUGACGGAAGGGCACCACCAGGGGUGGAGCCUGCGGCUUAAUUUGACUCAACACGGGGAAACUCACCAGGUCCAGACAUAGUAAGGAUUGACAGAUUGAGAGC